rnacentral:rRNA from 1 species
GACGAACCGUGCGAACGUUGUUCGGAAUCACUGGGCUUAAAGGGCGCGUAGGCGGGCUACCAAGUCAGGGGUGAAAUCCUGCGGCUCAACCGUAGAAGUGCCUUUGAUACUGAAGAUCUUGAGUCCGGGAGAGGUGUGUGGAACUGCGAGUGUAGAGGUGAAAUUCGUAGAUAUUCGCAAGAACACCAGUGGCGAAGGCGGCUCACUGGCCCGGUACUGACGCUGAGGCACGAAAGCGUGGGGAGCAAACAGG